GACGAACGCUGGCGGCAUGCUUUACACAUGCAAGUCGAACGGCAGCACGGGGGCAACCCUGGUGGCGAGUGGCGAACGGGUGAGUAAUACAUCGGAACGUGUCCAGUUGUGGGGGAUAACCAGUCGAAAGACUGGCUAAUACCGCAUGAUCUGGUGACAGCAAAGCGGGGGACUCGAAAGGGCCUCGUGCGAUUGGAGCGGCCGAUGUCCGAUUAGCUAGUUGGUGGGGUAAAGGCCUACCAAGGCGACGAUCGGUAGCUGGUCUGAGAGGAUGAUCAGCCACACUGGGACUGAGACACAGCCCAGACUCCUACGGGAGGCAGCAGUGGGGAAUUUUGGACAAUGGGGGCAACCCUGAUCCAGCCAUGCCGCGUGAGUGAAGAAGGCCUUCGGGUUGUAAACCGCUUUUGUCAGGGAAGAAACGCUCUGGGUUAAUACCUCGGGGUAAUGACGGUACCUGAAGAAUAAGCACCGGCUAACUACGUGCCAGCCGCCGCCGUAAAAC
rnacentral:rRNA from 1 species